GGCAGAGAGAGUGAAGAGGGAGGUGAGAGUAAAGGGGUUGAAGCAAAGAGAGGGAGGAGAGAGUAUCUUUUUCAUAUGUCAUUUUUUUUCUCUUACGUAUAUCAUGUUAGCCUUGUAAGCUGUAAACCGGUAAAAUCAAGUUACAAAGACUUUAUUGUUCAUUAAAUUAAAAUUUACGAAUUUUUGUGUUACAAAUUAAAUUUCAUGGGCAGUCCAGUUA
rnacentral:misc_RNA from 1 species